rnacentral:rRNA from 1 species
AUUGAACGCUGGCGGCAUGCCUUACACAUGCAAGUCGAACGGUAACAGGUUAAGCUGACGAGUGGCUCACGGGUGAGUCAUGUAUCGGAAAGUGCCCAGUCGUGGGGGUUACCUGCUGGAAAGAGCAGCUAACACCGCAUAAGACCUGAGGGUGAAUGCGGGGGAUCGCAGGACCUUGCGAGGUUGGAGCGGCCGGUAUGGGAUUAGGUGGUUGGUGAGGUAAAGGUUCACUAGGCGGAUGAUCGGGAGUUGGUCUGAUAGGACGCCCAGCCACAGGGGGGCUGAGCCACGGCCCUUGCGCCUACGGGAGGCAGCAGUGGGGAAUGUUGGGCAAUGGUCGCAAGCCUUAUCCAGCCAUGCCACGUGCGAGAAGACGGCCUUCGGUUUGUAAUCCGCUUUUUUCAGGGAAGAAAAGGUUCUGGCUAAGACCUGGGACUCGUGACGGUACCUGAUGAAUAAGCACCGGCUAACUACGUG